GAGUGGUGGACGCCCACGUUCAACUGCCGCGUUGAUGCUAUGCACCGCUCCACCGCCUUACUCGCCGCAGGGGAGCUCUGCGAGGUCCAAAUGAAUAUGGAGUCGCUUCGCUCCGGUCCUGCCCGCAACAUCUUACUCCUGGACAACUUCGUCCAUGGCCAGUCCGGUGCCGGCAACAACUGAGCCAAGGGACACUAUGUCGAGUACGCCAAGCUCAUCGACUUUGUCCUCGACAUGGUAUUAUGAAAGCGCAAGGAGACCAAGAACUCGGACUGCCUCCAAGGUAUUAAACACGUUGUCCUGUUCCUUUGUACUCUAAAUAGUUAUGCACAUGUAUAACUCCGUUUACAACUACAAAAGGUGAAAUCAAUUGAUUUUAGUACACAAGGAUAUAUUAAAGAAAAUACUAAUUUUCAGUAAUAAGUUAGGUAUUGAUACAUGAAGUAGGACCUUGGAGACAUAUUUCACAUAGUUUCUUUAUGACCCCUGAUUGGACAUGAGCAUGGUUGAUCGUGUGGUGCUCGAUUGUUGCAUGUUAGCAUCUAUGGACAGUUAGAUGUCUGAACCGGUAUAGUACAGUUCUGAAUAUUUUUUUCAGUAUUUUAACUCAAGUGCCCGAGCUUCUAGAAAUUAUUUAACUCAAGCUAGCAAAUCAUUCAUAGCGGAAAUGGUGGAGUGCAUCUUUGGUCCAACUUCUUUAGUCGUGUAAUUUGCUAGGUAUAAGUAGUAACUAUUCAGAUCUUUGAGGUCCCAAAUAAUGUUGCUAAUGCGCGUGCAAGUUCAUUCAGUUAAUUAUAGCUUUAUCUGAUGACUGUGAGCAUGAACUCAUGACGUUGCUUUUCUUUACUAUAUAUUGAGCACGAACAUGGAGGGUCCAUCGUCAGCGUUGGUCGUGCGGCGGCAGAAAGUUCAAGGCAAGGUCGCUUUAAGAGAGUGGAGGAAGAGAACGAGGAUGCGGAAUACUCUCUAGAAAAUGGCUGACACCUGAUAGUGAGGGGACAUCCAACCUCUUGUAUGUGACAAUGGCACUGGAAUGGUCAAGGUUAGAAAUCUUACUCGCAGUUGUUUCAUAAUUGUUUCCUGCAUUUGUUAAGAUAUUAUGUAGGCUGGUUUCACUGCUGGAAACCUCAGGCAAAUUACAAUGGGAGGCUGCUCACCGCAGGUAGAUAUGAAGUUUUGGAGCACUAGAUCAAGAAAUGAAGGCAAUCAUUGUUCCAUGGUGCCUAUGGGUGCCGCUUUUCCAGGGUGCACACAUCGCUGAAAAAUUGCAGUUUCACAAGAACAAUAUUUCUACCCGGUGUACUGUGCACCACCGUAGCUACAUGCAGAUCCGCCACUGAUUGUUCCCAUUUGUUGGUCUAAAAAAAGUAUUUCCAUUUGUCAAUAUUUGCAGGGUUUUUUAACUGUUAAUAUUUGAAAGGAGUGUAGGGAGAAAACAUGCAUCUAGAGUAAGAUGUGAUUGGUCAUUUGUCACAAUGAUUAUAAAUUCAGCUCGACAUGUACAUGGGGUUUAUUUUUUCUUAGGGGGGCAACAAAGGAUAAAUUGUGCAGAUGGUUGCAUAGAGGUAGGGACCAAAUGAAUAUGUACAUGUCCAUAGCUAUGUUAUGAAAGUAAACAUAUGUUAUGCUCGAUGCAUUUGACAAAAUGGAAGAACUGAUGCACACAUAAUUUGAUAUUUCCGUGGUAAAACAUAAUUAGUUU